AUGGCUUGCUGGGGGACUUGGUCAGCCAGCAGCAACCUUGGCCUCAACAUUGAGGACCUCAGGAUGGAACUGUUGCUCGUCAAGGCCACGCUCCAACAAGCUGCCCGCAAGGAGAUAUGCGGUACGGCCAUGGAGGAGCUGCUGCAGAGGCUGCUGGACUCGGCACACAACGCCGAGGACUUGCUGGACGAGCUGGACUACUUCCGCAUCCACGACGAGCUAUAUCAUACAUACAAUGCUGCUGACCAGCACGGCAAGGGUUGCAUCUGCAACCUCGCCCUCAAUGCUCGACACACCGCCAAAGCUCUUGCCAAACAGCUGUUAUCCUUGUCCGCGUACUGCUUUGGUGCCAACACUGGUGGUGAUCACCGGCAGGGAGUUGCAAGACAACAUGUCAGUUGUUGUGCUUGGCCGGGUGGCAGGCAGAGACUACCUGGCGAUUCCUCCUCGCCGCCAAACGCCAAUCAGACUGGUCAGGAGCUCAGUGGAUGCAUGCCAAAGCUUAGUAAACUCCUCCCUUGCUCAUCUUCCCCGCAUCCACAUGUUCAUGGUGAUGAAGUUGGUGCCAAUGCGCAAGAAACACCAAUGCAUGAGUUUAAUAGGGUCGAUUUCUCUCAAAGGAUGAAGGGCACAGUAGAGCAACUAAAGCUUAUGCGCAAUGAGGUUACCAAGAUUCUGCAAGGUUGUGGCCCUAGAACCAUCCCAGACAUUGCCCAGAGCCGUCCCAUCACCAAAGGUCGAAUUGAUGAGCCAAAACUGUACGGGAGGGAGACUGUCAUGAAUAGCAUCAUACAUGAUAUCACCAAGGGUCAAUACUGUACCAAGGGUCUUACUGUGCUUCCGGUUGUUGUUGGUCCUGGGGGAAUGGGAAAGACAACUCUGAUACAACACAUAUAUCGCAACCAACAGGUGCAGAAUCAUUUUCCAGUCAGGAUUUGGAUGUGUGUGUCAUUCAAUUUCAAUCUGGAUAAGGUGCUAGAACAGAUUGAAGUAGGUACUCGUCCAGUUGAAAGUGAAAAGGAGGGCAGUACAAUUGAAGAGUUGAUUGAAGAAAGAUUGAAAUCUAAAAGGUUCUUACUUGUAUUGGAUGAUAUAUGGCAGAUUAGUGAUGUGGGUGACUGGGAAAAACUCCUGUCGAUACUCAACCAAUCACAAGAAAAGGGUUCCAUGGUUCUAGUCACAACUCGGUUUCGAGCAAUAGCACAGGUGGUUAAAACAACUGGCCAUUCAAUAGAACUGGAUGGUUUAAAUUCUGGAGAGUUUAGAAAGUUGUUUCUCACAUUUGUCUUUGGCGAUGAGCAAUGUCCAAGGGACAAACAUUUUCUGCUUGAGACCGGAGAUAAAAUAAUGGAAAAACUAAAGGGCUCCCCUCUUGCAGCAAGGACUGUUGGUAGAUUGCUAAGUAAAGACCAUAGUUUGGGGCAUUGGAAAAGGGUCCUAAACAGUAAAGAAUGGGAAAAGCAAACCAAUGGAAUUAUGUCUGCCUUGAGGCUUAGCUAUGACUUUCUCCCUUUCCAUCUGCAGCAAUGUUUUUCCUAUUCUGCAUUAGUUCCUGAAGAUAUAUAUCUCAGAAGCUAUGAUCUCAUCAGCCUGUGGAUCGGACUAGAUAUUUUGAUACCUAGUGAUCAAAAUCAAACAUUUGAAGAUAUAGGUUUGAGCAAUUUAAAUGAGUUAGUCAAUUAUGGAUUUUUCAAGGAAGAAGAAACUGAUGGUGGUCAGCGGUAUGUUAUGCAUGACCUACUACAUGAUUUGGCAAUGAAGGUUGCAUCGCAUGAUUGUCUUUGCUUAUGUCUCCCUAAUGUUGGAUCAGUGGUAAUUCAGCCACCCAGCCAUCACUUGUCUAUCAGCACACAUGACUUAGGCGAAUAUGAUGCAGUGUCAGGUGAAAAAUUAAGAAGUGAAUUGGAAGAACUGAAGACAAAAUUGAAGGUUGAACAUUUGCACACAUUGAUGUUAUUUGGUAAAGUGAAUGGAAGUUUUGCAAAGAUAUUUGGUGAUUUUCUUCGGGAAGCAAAUGCUCUUCGUGUUCUUUAUUUGCUUGACAUGAUGUAUCCCAUUGAGUCCAUGUUACAUAACUUUUCAAGACUUGUCCACCUACGAUGCCUAUGUCUAGGGACAUGUGACAGAGAGAUGCAUUUACCACUCAACAUCUCUAAAUUUUAUCAUUUAAGGGUUCUAGAUCUUGAGCCAUGGUGUGGGAGUUCUGAUUUGCCCAGAGACAUGAGCAAUCUUGCAAAACUGUGCCAUAUUCAUGCCCGAAGUGAUGGUGAGCUUCAUUCAGAUAUUUAUAAUGUGGGAAAACUUAAACUCUUAGAAGAGUUGAAGGUAUUUCGAGUCAAUAAAGAAAGUGAAGGAUUUGAACCAAAGCAACUAGAGCAUUUAAGCAAGCUAAGGGAGCUUGGCAUCUACAACCUUGAGAAGAUAGAUACUGUAGAAGAAGCAGCUCAAGCAAAACUGAUUGAGAAAAAAUACUUGAAGAGGUUAACAUUGAGCUGGGAUAGUGAGCGGUCUAGUGUUGAGGCUAGUGUUGAAGCAGCGGUUCUUGAGAGCCUUCAACCUCAUGGAGAUCUUGAAGUGUUGUGUAUUAGAGGACAUGGAGGUCUUUCUUCUUCAACAUGGCUGGCAGAGGAGUUCGCUGUUGAAGGUCUGCAAUCUCUUUAUCUGGAUGGUGUUUCUUGGGGAGUUUUCCCUUCUUUAGGGAAGGCGUGGGAUCUUCAUGAAUUAAGGUUGGAGAAUAUGGCCAGACCGAAGGAUUUUAUCAUAGAGAAAAGCUUUUGCAGGCUAACACAGCUUACACUCAUUGGCCUAGGAAGUUUUGAAAAAUGGCUUUACCCAGCUGAACAAGAGUCUUCCCUGGGUGAACCAGAUGCUCAUAUGUUCCCUCUUUUGCAAGUUCUGGUUAUUAGAGAGUGCCCGAAACUCUUGGGGUUGCCUUUCUCAAACCACAUUGUUUCCCCAGAUUGGUUCCCCAAGCUACAAGAGCUUGAGGUACGCAACUGUCCCGAAUUCUUGCCAUUGAUUCCCAUCUCCUGGAUCGAAAGUAAGCGUUUUAUUACUGUGAAAUGUGUAAAGAUGCUAAGGGAGUUUGCAUACUCAAAAUCAUACAAUGGAGUACAAUUGAAGAUUAUUGGAGAGGCCGAUUUGCAUAGCAUAGACCAAGUGUUAGUUUUUGAUAAAGAACUAACACUUCUGGAGUGCCCACCUCUGGAGUUGAAGCACCUUCUGAUGCUAACCUCGCUGAGGACAUUGAUUGUACAAAAUUCAGUUGGACUAGUUGGACCACUACGAAGAGGUCAGGGUGAUGUGGCAUGGCAGCUCCCUGUUGAGGAUAUCUCUAUGCAGAACUUAAAUGGUAAUAGUGGAGAGGAACUGACAGAGCUCCUCCCCCACCUCCCAAAGCUCUCCAAAUUGGAUAUAUGGAAGUGUAAAAAUAUAAAAAAGCUGGUAGUGGGGGUGGACGUGCAACAAACAACACAAGAAGCAUCAGAGAUGGGGGGAGGUGAAAUAACAGCAGCAGAAGAAGAAGAGGAUGAUGGGGUGCUGCUCUUCCCAGCUCAUCUUUGUGACUCACUACGGGAAUUGGAGUUGAGUCACUGCUCACCAACUCUUGUUCCUGGUGGAGGAGGACUCCAAGCUUUGCGAUCCCUCCAUAGAUUAACAAUACGGUGGUCCCCAAAGUUUCUAUCCACCUCCUUUUCCCGUCACCAUUUUCCUUCCUCCCUACAGUUCCUGUACCUUGCAGGUGUGGAAGGCAUGGGGAUACUGGAGCCCCUCUCAAACCUGUCCUCUCUCACCAGAUUAGUAUUGAAACAUUGUGGAGAGGAUCUGAAAUGUCAGGGCUUGUGGUCUCUCCUUACCACCGGGGGCCAGCUCAACGAAUUAGUGGUCAGGGGUAGCCCUAGAUUCUUUGCUGAUUGGGAUCCCAAUCCCAGACGGGCUUUGGGGGAUGCUGAGGGAGGUGAAGAGCAACAGACACAACUUGUUUCGUCCACACUGCAGGAGCUCGAGAUUGAUGACAUCUUGGGACUACUUACUGCACCCAUCUGCAGCUUCCUCUCUUCCUCCCUCACCAAGCUGGAACUUCAUGGGGAUGGGCCUGAAGGGAUGGAGCGCUUCAGCAAGGAGCAAGAGGACGCCCUUCAGCUCCUCUCCUCCCUCCAGCAACUCGUGUUUUGCAAUUUCAGGGACCUUCAACAACUCCCUGCAGUGCUGCGUAACCUUACCAGCCUCAAGAAAUUAUUUAUCAACGGCUGCCCAACAGUCUCGUCGUUGCCCAACGAUGGCCUCCCUGAAUCACUGCAAGAGCUAUAUGUCGGAUACAACUGCAGCCAGGAGCUAAAACAGCAGUGCAGGGGGUUGAAGGGAGCCAUCCCCAAAGUAUAUGCUGAUUCCGAGGAUAAUGACUUGGAGUUCCUUCAUGCAGUACUUAAAUCUUGUCUUCCUUUCUGUACUUAA
rnacentral:rRNA from 1 species